AGUGCGCCACCGGGCCGACCGGUUUUUUAAAAGAAGGGGCGCCCUUGAGCAGAUUUAAGGAUGCUUCCGUGGUCACGAGCUCUGUGGUUGUCUCCUUUUUUGGGGAUACAGAUUCUCACGAUGGACACACCACGCUGAGUUCCUUGCUGACCGGUCUCUGUGGUUGACUCCAUGUGGAGGAGCGUGAAGACCAGUAAUGGACACCCCUGAGCUGGUUGAAGUGUUCUGCCAUGUUCAACGAGCUCCAUGGCGGCCUGUGUAUGCAGGAGCAUUAAGUCCACUAAUGGAUGCUCUUGAGUGCACUUAAGCAUUCAUGGUCACAAGUUCUGUGGUUGCCUCUCUUUGUUAGGAGCCUGGAGAACAAGGAUUGAUAAACCUGAACUGAUGUAAGCGUCCACGAGCUCCGCAGUUGCCCCUGUGCGUGGAAGCACGGAGAUGAAC